rnacentral:rRNA from 1 species
CCUACGGGAGGCAGCAGUAGGGAAUAUUGGACAAUGGGUGCGAGCCUGAUCCAGCCAUGCCGCGUGCAGGAAGACGGCCUUCUGGGUUGUAAACUGCUUUUGCCAGGGGAUAAAAAGUCCCUGCGGGGAAAAUUGAAGGUACCUGGUGAAUAAGCCACGGCUAACUACGUGCCAGCAGCCGCGGUAAUACGUAGGUGGCAAGCGUUGUCCGGAUUUAUUGGGUUUAAAGGGUGCGUAGGUUGUUUUGUAAGUCAGUGGUGAAAUCCGGCAGCUCAACUGUCGAUGUGCCAUUGAUACUGCAGAACUUGAGUACAGACGAGGUAGGCGGAAUUGACGGUGUAGCGGUGAAAUGCUUAGAUAUCGUCAAGAAUACCGAUAGCGAAGGCAGCUUACUAGACUGUAACUGACACUGAUGCACGAAAGUGUGGGGAUCAAACAGGAUUAGAUACCCUGGUAGUCCACACUGUAAACGAUGAUUACUCGAUGUUGGCGAUACACAGCCAGCGUCUUAGCGAAAGCGAUAAGUAAUCCACCUGGGGAGUACGCCCGCAAGGGUGAAACUCAAAUGAAUUGACGG